GACGAACGCUGGCGGCGUGCCUAACACAUGCAAGUCGAGCGGGGUUGAAGCGAGAGGUAACUCGAGCUUCUACCUAGCGGCGGACGGGUGAGUAACGCGUGGGCAACCUGCCUCAAGGUUUGGGAUAACAGCCCGAAAGGGCUGCUAAUACCGGAUAUGCCUAUGGCCUCGCAUGGGGCUAUGAGCAAAGGGGAAACCCGCCUUGAGAUGGGCCCGCGUCCCAUCAGCUAGUUGGUGAGGUAACAGCUCACCAAGGCGACGACGGGUAGCCGGCCUGAGAGGGUGACCGGCCACACUGGGACUGAGACACGGCCCAGACUCCUACGGGGGGCAGCAGUGGGGGAUCUUGCACAAUGGGCGAAAGCCUGAUGCAGCGACGCCGCGUGAGCGAAGAAGGCCUCGGUUGUAAGCUCUGUCUGGAGGGACGGAACAAAAUAGACGGUAACCGUCCGGACGGAAGCCACGGCUAACUAACGUGCCACGCAGCCGCCGGUAAUACGUAAGCGU
rnacentral:rRNA from 1 species